ACAAGAAGUACCAAAUUUCCCCAGCCUUUCAUGCUUGCCAAGGUCUCUAAGUGAUGACCAAUCUUUAAACAACAAAGGGAGCCUCUUCUCUUCCAAUUCUCUCUCCCCACACUCAAUCCUCAUGAGCACCACACCAAAAUUCCAAACAAUUUUCUCUGGUAAACAAGUCAUAGAGUUCUCCAAACCCUAUGAGCACCCAAUUUCCCUCUUUUUUAGAACUGAAAAAUCUUUAUUCACAAAUGUUAAAGAUUAAAACGAAG
rnacentral:lncRNA from 1 species